rnacentral:misc_RNA from 1 species
UUUACAGCUGCUCAGAUUAGCAGGAAUGGUUCCAGUAAAUGAAUUCCAAGUGAGAUUAAGAUGUUGAAGUUGCAAGAGGUUGCCUAUUUCCAUAGGGACUUCACCAUGGAAGCUAUUAUUCCUAAGAUUUAUCGCUGUUAGGAACGUGAGGUUCCCAAUAGAAGGCGGUAUGGAUCCAACGAGCUUUAGUGAUCUCAAGUGAAGAAUGAUGACUCUUUGGAAGGAGGGGUUGCAUGUUAUGCCUGUCCAAUUGCAGUAAUGGAGAGAAUUGUUCCAUGAAGACAUGACUUGGAAUGGAUCAUCAGUGAUUCUACUUUUGAAGUCUAG